rnacentral:rRNA from 1 species
AUUGAACGCUGGCGGCAGGCCUAAAACAUGCAAGUCGAACGAGAGGCGGACGGGUGAGUAAUGUCUGGGAAACUGCCCGCUGGAGGGGGAUAACUACUGGAAACGGUAGCUAAUACCGAAUACCAUAGGAUAGGAACAGAUGGGAUUAGCUUGUCGGUGGGGUAACGGCACACCUAGGCGACGAUCCCUAGCUGGUCUGAGAGGAUGACCAGCCACACUGGAACUGAGACACGGUCCAGACUCCUACGGGAGGCAGCAGUGGGGAAUAUUGCACAAUGGGCGCAAGCCUGAUGCAGCCAUGCCGCGUGUAUGAAGAAGGCCUUCGGGUUGUAAAGUACUUUCAGCGAGGAGGCGUUACUCGCAGAAGAAGCACCGGCUAACUCCGUGCCAGCCGCCGCGGUAAUUC